GCCCAGCUUGCUGGGCGGAUUAGUGGCGAACGGGUGAGUAAUACGUGAGUAACCUGCCCUUGACUCUGGGAUAAGCCUGGGAAACUGGGUCUAAUACUGGAUACUACCUCUUACCGCAUGGUGGGUGGUGGAAAGGGUUUUACUGGUUUUGGAUGGGCUCACGGCCUAUCAGCUUGUUGGUGGGGUAAUGGCUCACCAAGGCGACGACGGGUAGCCGGCCUGAGAGGGUGACCGGCCACACUGGGACUGAGACACGGCCCAGACUCCUACGGGAGGCAGCAGUGGGGAAUAUUGCACAAUGGGCGGAAGCCUGAUGCAGCGACGCCGCGUGAGGGAUGACGGCCUUCGGGUUGUAAACCUCUUUCAGUAGGGAAGAAGCGAGAGUGACGGUACCUGCAGAAGAAGCGCCGGCUAACUACGUGCCAGCAGCCGCGGUAAUACGUAGGGCGCAAGCGUUGUCCGGAAUUAUUGGGCGUAAAGAGCUCGUAGGCGGUUUGUCGCGUCUGCUGUGAAAGCCCGGGGCUCAACCCCGGGUCUGCAGUGGGUACGGGCAGACUAGAGUGCAGUAGGGGAGACUGGAAUUCCUGGUGUAGCGGUGAAAUGCGCAGAUAUCAGGAGGAACACCGAUGGCGAAGGCAGGUCUCUGGGCUGUUACUGACGCUGAGGAGCGAAAGCAUGGGGAGCGAACAGGAUUAGAUACCCUGGUAGUCCAUGCCGUAAACGUUGGGCACUAGGUGUGGGGGACAUUCCACGUUUUCCGCGCCGUAGCUAACGCAUUAAGUGCCCCGCCUGGGGAGUACGGCCGCAAGGCUAAAACUCAAAG
rnacentral:rRNA from 1 species